rnacentral:rRNA from 1 species
AACGUAGGUCCCGAGCGUUAUCCGGAUUUACUGGGCGUAAAGCGUGUUCAGGCGGUCUAGCAAGUCGGGCAUGAAAUCUCUCGGCUCAACUGGGGAACUGCACAGGAAACUAGCGGGCUUGAGUUCGGGAGAGGGAAGCGGAAUUCCGGGUGUAGCGGUGAAAUGCGUAGAUAUCCGGAGGAACACCGGUGGCGAAGGCGGCUUCCUGGACCGACACUGACGCUGAGGCGCGAAAGCUAGGGGAGCAAACGGG